UACGGCCACAUCAUGUUGAAAUAACGGUUCCCGUAUGAUCACCGAAGUUAAGCAACGUUGAGCCUCUUCAGUACCUAGAUGGGUGACCGCUUGGGUAUACCAUGUGUU